UACGUAGGGGGCAAGCGUUAUCCGGAAUUACUGGGUGUAAAGGGAGCGUAGACGGUAAUGUAAGUCUGGAGUGAAAGGCGGGGGCCCAACCCCCGGACUGCUCUGGAAACUACGUUACUAGAGUGCAGGAGAGGUAAGCGGAAUUCCUAGUGUAGCGGUGAAAUGCGUAGAUAUUAGGAGGAACACCAGUGGCGAAGGCGGCUUACUGGACUGUAACUGACGUUGAGGCUCGAAAGCGUGGGGAGCAAACAGG
rnacentral:rRNA from 1 species